rnacentral:lncRNA from 1 species
ACUCAGAAGAGGAAGGAGCUCCUGUCUGCUGAGGACACGGUUCCAUCCAAUGAGAUUUUCUGCAAACUAGGAAUAGAAGCAAGCUUCUUAACCUGAUGUAUCGCACCUUCAAAAAGCCUACAGCAAACAUCUUACUUAGUGAUGAAAAACUGAUUGCCUUCCCCAUAAGAUUGAGAACCAGGAACUGUCCAGGAAGACCCUGCAGUCUCUCUGCAGGCUCAUGGGAGCUCCCAGAACUGAGACAACACACGGAUCCAGGCCUGCUUCGAAGUCAGUGGGAUGCGGCCCUUGAAAGUCGAUGUAUUGGGUUCCUAGGGCUCUCGUGAAAACAUGCCACACCUGGCUGGUUUUAAACAACAGGAGUUUAUUCUGUCAGUUGAGAAGGCUACAAGUGCAAAAUCAAGGUAUUGACGGGAUGAGUUCCAACUAGAGGCUGUGAGGCAGAUCAACUCCAUGGCUCUCUCCUGGCUUCUGCUGGUUUCUGGCAACCGUUCACUUCCCAUGCCUGGUAGACACAUCACUCUAACCUCUGCCUCCCUUUUUCAUGGGCACAUUCGCGCCUGUGUGUGUGUGUGUGUGGAUGUGUGUGUUAAGGACAGCAAUCAUUAGACUAGAUGGGGCCCACUCUAAUCCACUGUGAGCUUCUCUUACUUUGGUAACAUCUGCAAAGACCCUAUUUCCAAACAAGGUCACAUUCCAUGUUCUGGGACUGUCUUCUGAGAGAUGUCUCCCCCAGGAUCCUUCCAGGUGGAAGGAUGCCCUUUGACCUGCAAAGCCAGGCAGAAAACCAGGAUCAGGGCAGGACAAGAGGAUGCUAGCCUGUGAUGGCUCCCACUCAGGUGGGAUGUGAGAAGUGCCUGUGGCCUGGGACACACCAACUUGCUCCCGUUACCUCAUCUGAGAUGGACUGCACAGUGUAUGUCCAGGGCCCAACCCGGUACACUGUGCCUUUGCAAUGCUGUCUCUGUGCUUUGGAAAUUCACUCAGCCCACUGCGUGGGGUGGUCUGAGGCGGGCCACAACCAUUUCUCAACCAUCCCUGAGUACCUGACCAGUAUCCCUCGGGGGUGACGACGACCGCCUACAUCUGGAGCAUGAGGAGCGUGUUUACCUGGUGAGUAAGGAUGCAAGCAUAGGACGUCCUGGCCGAUCCUCUGCACAAGCAAUGCCUUUGCUCCAACGGGAUGGGCAACGUUGGAUUAGGCCUGAGGCAGAUUUGAUCUCGGAAGAUACAUUCGAGUCUAUGUGUUUUGUGCAUUUAUUUUUGUUUCCUUGAAUUAACAUGGAGUCCAUUUCAA